UCCAAGCCAAAUUCAUAUUUAAGUGCAGAACAUGUCUACAUCUUGGUGCAGAAGUCAAAUAUUGUUCAAAAUUAAAAAACUUUUGAUUCCAAAAAUGUUGAGAGAGAGAAAUUGUUCCCUCAAGCCCCCAAGUGAUUCCUGAAAAACUCAUAAAGCAAGCCAUGUCAUUUCUAUUAGCUCAGUGUUAUAAAUUAACGUAUCAUGUAAUUAACCUGUCAGAAAUGUUAUUUCAAAGCUAUGGCAAUAAAAAAUAGCAUUUAAAUCAGGGGUGUCCAACCUUUUUGUUUCUCUGGGCCGCAUUGGA